AUGAGUUAAGUAUAAACCCCUUUACAAGUAUCAAUUGGAGGGCAAGUCUGGUGCCAGCAGCCGCGGUAAUUCCAGCUCCAAUAGCGUAUAUUAAAGUUGUUGCAGUUAAAAAGCUCGUAGUUGGAUUUCUGUUAAUAAUUUAUAUAUAAUAUUUUACGAUAUUUAUAUAAUAUUAACAUAAUUCAUAUUACUUUUAUUAGUAUAUGAAAUUUUACUUUGAGAAAAUUAGAGUGCUUAAAGCAGGCAUUUGCCUUGAAUACUCCAGCAUGGAAUAAUAUAAAAGAUUUUUAUCUUUUUUAUUGGUUCUAAGAUAAAAAUAAUGAUUAAUAGGGACAGUUGGGGGCAUUUGUAUUUAACAGUCAGAGGUGAAAUUCUUAGAUUUGUUAAAGACAAACUAGUGCGAAAGCAUUUGCCAAGGAUGUUUUCAUUAAUCAAGAACGAAAGUUAGGGGAUCGAAGACGAUCAGAUACCGUCGUAGU
rnacentral:rRNA from 1 species